rnacentral:rRNA from 1 species
CAGUCGCCGCGGUAAUACGUAGGUGGCAAGCGUUGUCCGGAAUUAUUGGGCGUAAAGGGCUCGCAGGCGGUUUCUUAAGUCUGAUGUGAAAGCCCCCGGCUCAACCGGGGAGGGUCAUUGGAAACUGGGAAACUUGAGUGCAGAAGAGGAGAGUGGAAUUCCACGUGUAGCGGUGAAAUGCGUAGAGAUGUGGAGGAACACCAGUGGCGAAGGCGACUCUCUGGUCUGUAACUGAUGCUGAGGAGCGAAAGCGUGGGGAGCGAACAGGAUUAGAUACCCGAGUAGUCCCUGUCUCUUAUAC